UUAUCUUUCAGGCAUGAUCUUCAUUACUUCAAGUAUGCAAAUGUGAAACAGAUAAGGGCCUUGCCUUGCAGAGUUUAUCUGAUAAGGGAUAGUAUUAAAAAGACAGCAAGUCCUGGGUAUGUGAAACUGAGUACCAAGAGGAGACUGGAUAUCGUGAAAUCAAACUUCUCGAAUUCCACAAAUUGGCCUCAGAUGGUAUCUCAGUUUGGACAUGAAGAGAAGACCGCUGCUGUGUCCACGCAUGGAGGAGAAUUGCUGGCCCUCCCUGGUCGUCUGUCCACUAGGGCAUCUGCCUCUGCGUUCUUGUGCCCUGGUUUCUGAUUGCAGAACCACUAAAAUCCUGGCUUCUUUCCUCAACAUCCUGGAGAGGUAUCCUCAGCCUCUGAACCCGUCAGCCACAUUCACACCCAGAGGAAGCAGGAAGCAUCCAGCUUCCCCUACACCCUACAGCUCUGCCUUGGGUCCUCCCAAAGCUAUAUCCAAGUAAGGUUGCAUUCUGAGGUACUAAGAUUAGGAUUUCAACAUAUGAAUUUUGGGGGACACAAAACUGAAUCCAUAAAAAGGUGGUUCGAAUCCUUUUAGAAAAAAUGUUCCGAAAGUCCAUGUAUCUACGAAUUUUUGAAAACUAGAAGAUGAUUUUGAAUUGAGGCUGCUAUUAAGAGAGACUUCAUUUAAAGACUGAAAAUAAACAUCUUCUACAA